rnacentral:rRNA from 1 species
GCAGUCGAGCGACAGAAGGAGCUUGCUCCUUUGACCGUCGCGGCGGACGGGUGAGUACACGUGGGCACCUACCCUAUAGUUUGGGAUAACUCCGGGAACCGGGGCUAAUACCGAAUAAUCUCUCUUACUUCAUGGUGAGAGACUGAAGACGGUUUCGGCUGUCGCUAUAGGAUGGGCCCGCGGCGCAUUAGCUAGUUGGUGAGGUAACGGCUCACCAAGGCGACGAUGCGUAGCCGACCUGAGAGGGUGAUCGGCCACACUGGGACUGAGACACGGCCCAGACUCCUACGGGAGGCAGCAGUAGGGAAUCUUCCACAAUGGGCGAAAGCCUGAUGGAGCAACGCCGCGUGAGUGAAGAAGGUUUUCGGAUCGUAAAACUCUGUUGUAAGGAAGAACAAGUACAGUAGUAACUGGCUGUACCUUGACGGUACCUUAUUAGAAAGCCACGGCUAACUACGUGCCAGCAGCGCGUAAUACGUAGUGGCAAGCGUGUCCGAAUUAUUGGGCGUAAAGCGCGCGCAGCGUCUUAGUCUGAUGUGA